AGGAGCCGUAUGAGAUGAAAAUUCAUGUACGGUUCUGCAAUAGGGAUGAGAACAGUGAUGUUCUCAUCUACUAUGAU
rnacentral:ncRNA from 1 species